rnacentral:rRNA from 1 species
UACGUAGGGAGCAAGCGUUGUCCGGAAUCAUUGGGCGUAAAGCGCGCGUAGGUGGCCCCAUAAGUCCGCUGUGAAAGUCAAAGGCUCAACCUUUGAAAGCCGGUGGAUACUGUGGGACUAGAGUACGGAAGAGGCGAGUGGAAUUCUCGGUGUAGCGGUGAAAUGCGUAGAUAUCGAGAGGAACACCUGCGGCGAAGGCGGGUUGCUGGGCUGACACUGACGCUGAAGUGCGAAAGCUAGGGGAGCGAACGGG